ACCUCUGUGCAAUGGAGCACACGCGUUACGCAUCGAUGAAGCCCGCGGCAAAAAGCGAUAUGUAAUGAGAUUCGUUAGCCUCGCGAUUCAUCAAAUUGGUGAACACAUACUGGACCUCUUCGGAGGUACUUGCGUUAGAGUGCUAGUUUUCUAUCAAUUGAUCCUGGUAAAAGGUG
rnacentral:rRNA from 1 species